CCGAGGAACUGGCCGCUUUGAACAAACCGCCGACCUAAUAGCUAACCAGAGGAAGCCACAGAACAACUCCAGGACCAACAUCGUGCCAGCGAAAAUAUGAAGAAACGAGGUCAGGGCAGUAGGACGCUGUCAGGAGCAGGAUGAUCAUGAAGAAGGGACGAUGAGGAGCGGAUAUAUGAGAUGAAGCGAUAGGUAAAUGCUCUUUACCUGUCCUUUUUGGCCGGGUUGUUAAAGGGUCUUAUCAUAAUGAUAUUCAAAAAAAUUAUUGCAACUAAGGCUUGCAGUAAAAAAAAAAACAAUUUCAUCAUCACGGACGCUUCUAGUUGAAUCAAAUGUCAAAGUUUGCGCUACCAAAGAAUUAUUUCUGUACGAAGCAGAAACACUGUCACAACGAUCGUACAGAUACUUUGAAAAUGGAAUAUAUCUUGUCGUAUGCAGUGUCUGGAAAAAGUGUUUGGGUUGUCUCCAGAGGAUUGCGCCCCAGAUUUAGGACUUUGUGUGUAACAUUAGAAGGUACGGGUAUAUCCUAUUUUAAAACAGAUAUAAUUCCAAUUUGAUAACUU